CAGUAGCCGCGGUAAUACGUAGGUGGCAAGCGUUGUCCGGAAUUAUUGGGCGUAAAGGGCUCGCAGGUGGUUUCUUAAGUCUGAUGUGAAAGCCCCCGGCUCAACCGGGGAGGGUCAUUGGAAACUGGGAAACUUGGGUGCAGAAGAGGAGAGUGGAAUUCCACGUGUAGCGGUGAAAUGCGUAGAGAUGUGGAGGAACACCAGUGGCGAAGGCGACUCUCUGGUCUGUAACUGACGCUGAGGAGCGAAAGCGUGGGGAGCGAACAGGAUUAGAUACCCCCGUAGUCCCUGUCUCUUAUAC
rnacentral:rRNA from 1 species